UACGUAGGGGGCAAGCGUUGUCCGGAAUCAUUGGGCGUAAAGCGCGCGUAGGCGGCCCGGUAAGUCCGCUGUAAAAGUCCAGGGCUCAACCCUGGAAAGCCGGUGGAUACUGUCGGGCUAGAGUCCGGAAGAGGCGAGUGGAAUUCCUGGUGUAGCGGUGAAAUGCGCAGAUAUCAGGAGGAACACCUAUUGCGAAGGCAGCUCGCUGGGACGUUACUGACGCUGAGACGCGAAAGCGUGGGGAGCAAACAGG
rnacentral:rRNA from 1 species